GACAAACAAAGACGACAAUCAUAGACAUCCCUGACAAAAACUCCUUGGACAAGGCCAGCACUACCAGUGGGUCCAGCAAUCAAAUCUUGAUGGGAACGAGCAUGGAUUGAACCUUUGCGCUCUCUGGAGCAACAACUCCUCCAGGGCACACUGGAAAACCGACUUGACACGCAUAUUAUGUGCCUCGUCUCUCGACGCCCAUCCAGGUACAACUAUCGACGGUGACAUGCUCAUCCCAGAUGGCACACAUUCCAGGGCACCAGAUGCAGCAGCACAAAUUAAUUUUCUUAAUUCUUCUAUCUUAGUUCUAAAUUUUUGCUUCUAAAAUUUAAUAACCAAUUUUAUAAAAUUAUAUUAUUGUUGUUAUUUCGUGUGCAGUUCUUAUGAAAACUGAAUUAUUGAUAUUCCUUCAUUACUUACUUUGGAUUAUGCAUAUACUGAUACAACCAUGUUCCCUUAUCAGCAUAAUUAGAGAGCUAUCGCUUAUAUUUCUGAAAUAGACUUAUCUUUUUUCGCCUAUAAAGUUGUAUCCACAAUGAUUUUUUUUGUGAACUGUCCGAUUCUUCUACACAUUGGCGUGGAUAUUCAAGCUCAUACAGUGAACAAAUGUGGCAUAUUUAAUACUCCCUCUGUAAACUAUUAUAAGAGUGUUUAGAUUAUUAAAAUAAUGUUUUAAAUGCUCUUAUAUUAGUUUACGGAGGGACUACAUCUUUGUGCUAAGCAGGGCUCUAGUACUAGGAGAAGGUGCCUUUGGAUCAACUUUGUUCCUCUUUUCUUAGCUGAAUGUCUGCAGAGCGAUUGUAAUCCUGCUUGAUGAUUAAUGAAAGCUCUUUAUUCACAUUUUUUAAUGAUAUAGUCAUAUUUAUUUAUCAGUGAAAAGCAAUGUAGCGGUCGACAAUAUAAUGCUGCAUUAGUUGUGAUUUCAUUAAUUUUCACCCUCUUGUGGCUGUAGACAAUGUAUGAGUAUGUAUUUAUGGGGGGGUGUAUAUGUGUCUAUGUAUUGUCCAUACCAGGUAUUUAAAAAAAUAUAUGUUUGUACCUUUUUAUGUGAAAUAUAUUUUUCUCCUUGCACAGUUGCACUGCCACUUGAUUCAUUUUUCUAGCAUGCCUCAUGGUAGCACACAGUAGGCUUGCCUUUAACCCCCUUUAUAUCAUGCAUGUAUACGUGCAUGCUUAGCUAGGUGCAAAUUCUUGUUUUCCUUACCUUUUUGUUUUCUUUUCUCAUGCACGUUUGUAUGAGAAGCGACUAUGAUUUUUCGUUUGUGAAAAUAGAUUAUGGAUGUCAUCGGCUUUGAUGUCAUGGAUGCGUAUUGGAACCGGAUUGCUCCUGGUUAUCUACUUGUGGACGCGGUGGUAGAGGUUGAAGAUGAGCGCGGGCUCCGUCGCGUAAGUGAUGCCCAACUUCCUGGCCGCCGUCACCGGC